rnacentral:lncRNA from 1 species
CGACGACGGAGGAGGGUGCCUGCGGUACCAGUUGUGCAAACUCUGUGGAGCAGCCUGGAAUCCUUCCCGGGAAGCGGCGGGAGGUGGGCUAGUGAGGGGCGGGGGUUGUCGCAGGGCCAAGUCUCCUGCGCCGCCCGCAGCCCGGGCGGGGCCGGGGUCCUGACUGACACGUGCGCACCCAGCCUGGCCGGGGGAGGGACAAAGGGGAGCGGAGGGCCAAGAUCUCAUCAACUCAGAGCCGCCUCCCUUCCGGCUGGUGCUGACCAGGUGCCCAGAUCCGGGAACGAAAGCAGCAGGGUACCCACGUGCCAUCGCCAGGCUGGGACGCUCCGGGACAGGACUACCUCUGCCCACCCGGCGCCCCGGGCGCUUGACCGGAGCGCGCAUGCUCGGCGCCCUGACCAAUAGGAAGCUAGGCCCGCCGCAGAGCCGCGCCAGUCACAAGCCGCUCCGGCGAGUGGACGGUGCCUGGGCGGCCGCCCCGCGGGCGAAGGUCUCGGGACCAGGUCUGUCAGACCUCGGACGUGGAAACUGGCAUCUCCCCUGGCUCGGAGUCCGCCCUCUCGGGGCGCCAGCGCAGGUGACCUGGGGCGCGCAGCCCUUGGGAUGCGAGUUGAUCGAUGUGCCUGAGGUGGCCUCUCUGAUUCCACGGCUGUCCCCGUGAGCAGGCGGCUCCAUGCUUCAAAGGCCCUGGAUUCCUGGGACAUGAUGCCACCUUUCCUGAAGUCUGGGCUCCUUACCUUCUCUCUGCUCCGGGCAUACCAUUCCCAAAGGACAGUGGUACUGCAGGGAGCGUCUGCUGGGCCCCCUCCAUGUGUUCUGGACAGGCUGGGGUCCUGGGAAGGGUGCACCACCCAAGUGCGGGGGUGGCAUUCAAGCUCGACACAGAACCUGUGAGAAUGGGCCUGACUGUGCUGGCUGCAGUGUGGCGAUGGAGAGAAAUGCUGUGUCCUAUGGUGUAGAAGUUGGUUGGAGGCCAAACACAGAGUUCCCACAGUGAUCUGGAGGGACUUUGUUCCUCCCAUAAUCACCAUUAACCUGAGCAAUUAAAAAGCAUCUUCAAGCUGGUGCAUUGUUAUCCACUAAACCGGAAGGCUCUCCUGUUGAACAUAAACAAUUUCACAAAAUACCUGCACCAGACAAGGCCAUGGUGUGCUUAUAAUGGAGAAAGAAGACCCCUCUGCAGUCAUGUCUGAACACACACAAACAAGAACCCAGCCCAGACCGCAAAACCUGACCAAGGGUUACCCACUCCCAGCUAAUACGAGUGACUGCUGCCUCGUCUGCACUCCUAAAUAAAACUCACUGAAGAACCAAAUCACAGCA